AUACGGCCAUGUCAUGUUGAAACUUCGGUUCUCGUCCGAUAACCAAACUUAAGCAACGUCAAGCCUGGUCAGUACCUAGAUGGGUGACCGCCUGGGAAUACCCGGGGU